rnacentral:tRNA from 1 species
GGCCCGUUGGUCAAGAGGUGAAGACGCUGGCCUCUCACGCCGGAAUCAAGGGUUCGAUUCCCUUACGGGUCACCA